AGCGAACGCUGGCGGCAUGCCUAACACAUGCAAGUCGCACGGGGGGGCUUCGGCCUCCCAGUGGCGGACGGGUGAGGAACGCGUAGGGACCUGUCGAGGGGUGGGGGAUAACCGCGGGAAACUGCGGCUAAUACCGCAUGACGCCGCGGCGUGACAGCCGGGGCCAAAGGCGAAAGCCGCCCGCCGAGGGGCCUGCGUCCGAUUAGCUGGUUGGCGGGGUAGCGGCCCACCAAGGCGUCGAUCGGUAGCUGGUCUGAGAGGGUGAUCAGCCACACCGGGAAUGGGACACGGCCCGGACUCCUAGGGGAGGCAGCAGGGGGGAAUAUGGGACAAGGGGCGAAAGCCUGACCCAGCAAGGCCGGGGGGGUGAAGAAGGUCUUCGGAUUGUAAAGCCCUUUCGGCGGGGACGAUGGGGACGGUACCCGCAGAAGAAGCCCCGGCUAACUUCGU
rnacentral:rRNA from 1 species